rnacentral:rRNA from 1 species
UACAGAGGGGGCAAGCGUUAUUCGGAAUUAUUGGGCGUAAAGGGCGCGUAGGCGGCUUGGCAAGUGGAAGGUGAAAUCCCUCGGCUCAACUGAGGAACUGCCUUCCAGACUGCUUUGCUUGAGUCCGGGAGAGGUGAGUGGAAUUCCCAGUGUAGCGGUGAAAUGCGUAGAUAUUGGGAGGAACACCAGUGGCGAAGGCGGCGACCUGGGCAGAUACUGACACUGAGGUGCGAAAGCGUGGGGAGCAAACAGG